GGUGCUCUGCCCGAGUGGUUAAGGGGUUAGUCUUGAAAACUAAUGGUCUCUGGCCUCACAGGUUCGAAUCCUGUGGGCACCG